AACAGAGGCAGCUUCUCCCCAGGAAAACAAAACAGUCGCUGCUUCCUGACAGCUGAAGUUAACUUCCAUCAAAAUGUGUGCAGCUGAUCAACCCUGUUGAAGCUGUCGCUAAAGUGAACACUGGCAGUAACCACUAAUGAACAGGAGAGGUCAGCAAUGCACUAUUUCUGCCUUCUGGCCUCCUGGCUGUUUAUGGUCAGACCAUGGCCUGGAAAUGCCACAUUUCGAGGUCGGGAUAACCUACAAAACAGCCGCCCUGGAGCCGGAGGACCUGGACCACGGACCCAUCAGCAGGACAGUGCUGAUGUGACAGUGCAAACUUGUCAGGAGGUGUUGAAGCAAAGCCAUGCAGUCAGCGGGACCGUCAACAUUACCUGGCUACAAUCCAGACAACUCAACGCAGGAAACCAGAAAACCUCUGACACUUCAGCCCUGCUGAUAAGGCAGCACACAUUUUGAGGAUAAGAGGCAACCAUAGGAUGUAGCUUAACUAAACCAGACUUAAAAUCUCUCACACACACAGAGACUGUAUUUGAACACCUGUAUCGUGUUGACAACUACUUACCCACAUAAGACAUGAUAAAUCUGUAAGGAGAAUCGGUAUUAACAAUGUGAUGUGCGGAUGAUGUGAAAUUGCUCAAACGCCAAAUUAGAAAACAAAUUUGCUUCUGGAGACCAGUAGGGAUUUCUGAGAUAAAAGUAGAAGUUAUUCCAGAAGAACAGUCCACAGCAGUUCAAACAUUGAAAGCAUUUAAUGCUAAAUAGUGUGUGAAUAAUAAUCUUUUUCAUUUGUUGCUAAAUUGGAUUGCGGUUUCUCAGCCUUUUGUUGAAAGACAGCACUGAUUUCAGGGCAGCUAUUUUAAUUUUAUGUGUUAAAAAUAUGUUGAUGUUGAAUAACUUCUUAUAAUUUAAUUUUAAGCUUAGGUUGCAGUGCAGUUGUUUUGUCUCUAGUGGCUUAAUUUCACCCGUGAUGGUGCAAUAAACCUUUUCCUUGAAGCUGUCAAGUGAAAACCACACUUUCCUUUGCAAGUUUUAAAUGGUUCAUUGUGGCAUCUUUGACAACAAGACACUUAUUUGUGUAAGACUCCCUUCGCUGUUGUCUGUUGAAUUUUUAUAGGAUGUCAUCGAUGAAAAGAACUGAUGUUGCUGAAUAAGUGCCAACAUUCCUGAUCCUGUGCAAAGCAAUGUCUAACAUGAGAAAUUGGCUUGCCAAAAGAUAGAGUGAUGAGGUUUAUGUUUGAGGAAAUAAA